GUGCCCAUCGAAAGCUGGCAGUGCUUUCGCGUGGCAACACAGGAGGGAAGAGCAGCCCUCUCGCUGAAACCCGGGCAGGGCUGCUGCGCUCUGCUCCGGAGCCUGUCGCGGGAGACACGC